rnacentral:rRNA from 1 species
GAUGAACGCUGGCGGCGUGCCUAAUACAUGCAAGUCGAGCGACGCGUGGACGGGUGAGUAACACGUGGAUAACCUCCUAUAAGACUGGGCUAACUUCGGGAAACCGGAGCUAAAACGGAUAAUUAUAGAUGGAUCCGCGCUUCCUUAGCUAGUUGGUAAGGUAACGGCUUACAAAGGCAACAAUGCAUAUCCGACCGUAGCGUGUGAUCGGCCACACCGGAACGGAGACACGGUCCAGACUCCUACGGGAGGCAGCAGUAGGGAAUCUUCCGCAAUGGGCGAAAGCCUGACGGAGCAACGCCGCGUGAGUGAUGAAGGUCUUCGGAUCGUAAAACUCUGUGAUUAGGGAAGCGGUACCUAAUCAGAAAGCCACGGCUAACUACGUGCCAGCAGCCGCGGUAAGAC